UACGUAGGUUGCAAGCGUUGUCCGGAUUUACUGGGCGUAAAGAGCGCGCAGGCGGUCGUUCAAGUCGCGUGUGAAAGCCCCCGGCUCAACUGGGGAGGGUCACGCGAUACUGACCGACUCGAAGGCAGGAGAGGGUAGUGGAAUUCCCGGUGUAGUGGUGAAAUGCGUAGAUAUCGGGAGGAACACCAGUGGCGAAGGCGACUACCUGGCCUGUUCUUGACGCUGAGGCGCGAAAGCGUGGGGAGCGAACAGG
rnacentral:rRNA from 1 species